GAUGAACGCUGGCGGCGUGCCUAAUACAUGCAAGUCGAGCGAACAGACGAGGAGCUUGCUCCUCUGACGUUAGCGGCGGACGGGUGAGUAACACGUGGAUAACCUACCUAUAAGACUGGGAUAACUUCGGGAAACCGGAGCUAAUACCGGAUAAUAUAUUGAACCGCAUGGUUCAAUAGUGAAAGACGGUUUUGCUGUCACUUAUAGAUGGAUCCGCGCCGCAUUAGCUAGUUGGUAAGGUAACGGCUUACCAAGGCGACGAUGCGUAGCCGACCUGAGAGGGUGAUCGGCCACACUGGAACUGAGACACGGUCCAGACUCCUACGGGAGGCAGCAGUAGGGAAUCUUCCGCAAUGGGCGAAAGCCUGACGGAGCAACGCCGCGUGAGUGAUGAAGGUCUUCGGAUCGUAAAACUCUGUUAUUAGGGAAGAACAAAUGUGUAAGUAGCUAUGCACGUCUUGAUGGUACCUAAUCAGAAAGCCACGGCUAACUACGUG
rnacentral:rRNA from 1 species